rnacentral:ncRNA from 2 species
CGCUCAUCCAGAGGGGCAGAGGGAUACGGCCCGAUGAAGCCCCGGCAACCCUCCAGCCGGUCUCGUAGCGAUCACUGACGAUCGCACCGCGAGGCUCCCGGCUAGGGAAGGUGCCAAAUCCGUCUCACGGCGAGAUGCGUCGUGAGGAAGAUGAGGA